rnacentral:rRNA from 1 species
GACGAACCGUCCUAACGUUGUUCGGAAUCACUGGGCUUAAAGGGCGCGUAGGCGGGCGAGCAAGUCUAGGGUGAAAUCUUUCGGCUUAACCGGAAAAUAGCCUUGGAUACUGCUGGUCUCGAGGGAGGUAGGGGUCGUUGGAACUUCCGGUGGAGCGGUGAAAUGCGUUGAUAUCGGAAGGAACGCCGGUGGCGAAAGCGAACGACUGGACCUUUUCUGACGCUGAGGCGCGAAAGCCAGGAGAGCAAACGGG